CUGCAGCCCAAAAGGAAAUUAAUUUGGGCCCCAAACCUAGAAGACCAAUGAUAGUCUUUUGGGCUUACUAGGCCAAAUUAGGCCCAGUAAAACGCUCAAUAGGAAGCUGCUUUGGGCUCAAGGCCCACCUUGCAGCCCAAUAACUGAUUUUUGGGCUGCCAAUUUUCCUUGGCCUUUCUGGCCGAUUUUAGGCCCGAAUGAUGGGCUUGCUCUGUGAGUCCAACGGAACUGAUAAUAGGCCUUUAACCAAUUUAGAAGCCCAAUUAAACGGUUUUGGGCUAUAGAGCCCAUCUACGUGAUAAAACUUGGGAAUUGGGCUUCCUGGACCACAUUAAAAACUCCUUAAUGUGCACAUUUAAAGUUGCAUGGUCCAAUUACCGUGGCCUUUGGGCCUCAAGGCCUAAUUUAGAGCUCAUAUUGAUUCCCUUGAGCCACACAUUCCUUGGGAAAUUUCCGAGUUUCUUUGUAGCUCCCUGCCCAGUUUAAAGGACCAAUCUGCUAUUACGAAAUUAACUUCAGAACCCAUUUAAAAUUUUUUUACUUCCGUAGGGCAGCUUGGGGCCUUGCACAAGGUUUUACACCACUUUUAGUUGGACAUAUUUUAAGCAGAUUAAAAGGGGAUUAGAGUUUGAGCCUUUUGCCCAGCUUAAGUAUUUAACACUCUCAAGUAGUUUGGGCCUCAAUCAAUUUAAAUGGGCCUUUCGCUCUAGGUUUUAGUUCAAUCGUAAUAAAUUUAUGUGAAAUAAAUACAAAUACUAAAUCUAAAAAGAACCAGUGCAUUAAAUAUAAACAUUCUAAAAAUAAAUAAAAAGAAAAUAAGAAUUGAUGCAUGAUGAAAAUUCGAAAACUACUGCAAAUCUCACACGUGCAACUUUUUCUUCGGCUUGGAGAGAUUCAUUUUGAUCAGGAAGCGAUAAUUAUGAAGCAUUUAUCGUGAGAACAUUGUCAUGCCUGCUUUAAUGUCUUGCACAAGGAAUCGAGUCCACUGCGAGCAGUACCUCGGCCCAGCAUUUUCGCCCUCAAGGUUAUCCUGCAAAUAAAAGAUCCACUUAAAGCCAGUUAAUUAAGUCCUUGACAAAUGAAAUAAUUUUAAAGUCCAGCAUCUUUUAUGAAUACCUCAAUUGCACAAGAGAUGCAAUGCUUUAAAAGUGUACAAUCUUCCCUCAACACACAAACAAUACAUUCUCUUAUUACAGCAAUAUUAUCAUCUGUUAGCUAUCCCAGAUAGUCUGCUGUUAUAAGGCUUACACUAAAGAAUAUCACGUAACUAAAGCUUUAACAAUGUCAAAUGACACAAACGAAAUGCAUUCAAGGAAGCUGGAAACAGCAGAAAACAUAUUUACCUCCACCCUUUUCCACAAUAAAGACGUAUUUUUCCGAUGGCAGAAACUACAUAAUCAACUCUUUUGGUUUAUUAGGAAAGGAAAAGAAACUGAAUUUGUGCUUCCUUUUCUUUAGUUUAGGAUAUGCGUCUUAUCAGUCAAAAUGCUAUGAGACCUAAAGAAAAUGAAGACUAAAAAUGGAAAAUAAAUAAAUCAAGCACCAGAUGCUAAUAAUCAUUGCAAAGAUGACAACAGUAUAUCAUCAGAAUGCUUAAUAUUAAGUUUGAAUUGCAUGUCCGAUCAACUAACGCAUUUUUAGAAGAAAACAAGGCACCAACCAGUGAUGAUGGAUCACCAAAUGAUAAGCCUACUUCCCAGAGUUUGGUUAAAUGGCAGGGCCAGCCUAUUGAUGAUGAUAAAUGGCUGGAUGAUGAUUUAAAGGGCCAAUUUCCAUGUUUCAGCUUUAAGGACAAGGUUGUUUUUAAAGAGGGUGGCAACUAUAACACGAAGGAAGGGCCAAAGGCACAUAGAUUGUUUACUCUAGAACAUAAAAGCAGAAUCAAAAAGAUUAGGAGAGGAUGUAGCGUUAGUUAUGCCAAAGCAUGACUUGUGUAUGAGUACUAGAAAAGCUAUAAACAGGAUCAAGGAGGGAAAAGAGGGUAUCAAGUGUUUUCCUUGAGUAAUUGGGAGCUGGAAAUUAUUCUUGCUUGGGGAGACUUAUCUCCUAUACUUGAUAGUUGUAUUACAAUUUUCACAAUUCAAUCAAAUUAUCCCUCCUCCAUUCCCUAUUUAGCUAUUUAUGUCACUGUUAUUUUGCUUAGUUAAAUUCCCUUCUCUAUCAAAAAGAUGCAACUAUUGCCAAGUUUUGUUAUGAGCUUAUGUCUGAAUUUUGGUAAUAAUCUUAAACCAAUCAACUAUUGUUAAAUAUGAAGGUCAAUAGACAUGAAAUGCUGAGGGAGGCACACUAAGGGCCACGUAAAACACAGUGAUAAAUUUAUCAAGUGUCACAUCAAUAGAAAUAACUUGGAAAUAUGCUACUGCAGGUUAAAUAGGUUUUAUAUCACUUAAAUUGAUGUUGAGGGAGUUUAAAGGGAGAAAAUAAAGUUUAGGCAACUUACUAUUACAUACCCCUAAAUUAAGGUACCAUGUCUGUGCAAUUUACCCCAUCCACAUAGUUUUACUAAUUCCUACAUUUUUAAAAUUUUUUCUUGAUUCUGCCAGAUUUAAAAAAAAAUGAAUGACACAAGUUAUGUUUUCCACAAUAAUAGAGACAAGUCAAUAGAGUUUCCAAUCAAACUAUAAGCCAAUUAUGAGUUUAUAAAUGAAAAUCCAAAAAUUUUAAAUUUGUGAAAAAAUUCAUUUAUGCCCAAUUUGAGGAAAGAUAAGUCAGCUAAUUCUCCAUCCUUCGUCAUUUUUAAACACCUAAAUAAAAGUAACUUGAUUUAAUAUCUCUAAACUGAAAGAAAAGUUCAUGAUAUCUGAGGCAUAAUGUCUAAUAAGUGGAUUCACAAUAACUAAGAAAUAAAAGAGAAGAUGCUGACAUAUUUACAAAAAAGUGAAGCCAUGGAAUUUAAGAAAAAGAGAAAUAAAAAAAUGAAAUGAAAAAAAAAAAUCUCAAACAACAAAUUGUUAUAACUUAAAAUAGAAGGCAAGUUCUCAAUCAAUGUGCAAUGCUACAAACUACAGCAGAAUCACAGCAAAGAUGGAAAGUUAGAAAGACUAACAGGCAAUAUCAACCCUCUACAUGCUAGUUCAGCAAAUGCUAAAAAUGCUUGGAGAACUUAAAAAUCUUCAAACAAGGGGGCAGGCUCAAAUUUUCUAAGAUCAUUACUAUUUGCAAUACUAGAAGUCUAGAAUCAACGAAGGAAAUAUCAAAUGGAGUUCGUGCGAGAAUAGACAGCAAGAUAUAUCACAUUUUUCACCUCAGACCAUCCUGUAUUUUCCUGCAUCCUGAAGUUGUCAUAGUACUUCUACAAGAGAGGCUACAAAAACCCUAAUCAAGCAAUACAUAUGAUGAAUAUCGAUUACUCUUGAGUAUUGUUGAAAUGAUUAAACACAAACAAUCCCUAUUUCAUGGUUCUAGUACGGUAGACGAAUAAUUGAUCGUACAAUAAUUACCCCCAAUUCACUCGAGUAACUAUGCUCUCCAAGCAGUCUCCACUGGUUAUCGCUCCUAACACUUGCCAUCUAAAACACCAAUAGAAGAAUCAAUCGAUCAUACAAUGAUUGAUCUCACAUCAUAAGAAAGCAAUUUGUGAAAUAAAAAUAUAGAUAGAAGAAAUGAAUUUACAAUUGAUCGAACUUUCGUGGACGGAGGCGGCGUCGGAGAUGCGGACAUUGGGAACAAUGUCGUGGAGGAGGAACGUGACUGGAAAGGGAAACAAAGGGGAGAUGUGAUGAUUGAAUACAGGUGAUCGGAGAAGAAAAGAGAGUGUUACUACAAGCUAGGGUUCGGCGUGGCAAUUUAAAAAAGAAAAAGGAAAAAUGAAGCUUCUAGUGUAGUGCCAUGCCCGAAAAUAAGGUAGAUUCCGCCAACUGGAUCUCUAGCCGAUAUGGAGCUCUUAACCUUAAACUUCGGUGAUCCAAACUUAAUUUUUGUUGUUGCGAUAGACUACUAUAAUUUUUCAAAAAAAAAAUUUUGAAAUUCAUAACUUUAAAAGUGUCACGAAAAUUAUAAACUGAUUACAAAAUUUAAUAUGAAAAUUCUAUCAUAUAAAUAUUAUUUUUACAGUUUAAUUAUUUUAUUUUAAAUAUUUUCAUAAUUUUACAUAUUAAAUUUUUAUUUUUAUUAUAAAUAAUCUUUUUUAUUAGAAAACACUUUUAUUUUAAAAAAUUUCAGUAAAAUUUUUAGUUUUUUAUCCAAUCUUUUCUCUUAUUUCAUUUUAAUCAAUAUCUAUAUUGAUUGAAACUCCGACGGUUUAAAUAGUCCUUUAUCACUAAUAGGGAAGAAAGCGAAAGAAAGAAAGGAGAUCCAAUUUUUUCUGCUGAGUCUCCAGGAGUGGAGUAGAAAUAAAACUGGCAACGGCGGAGUUGGAAUAGGUGUGGUGGCGAAUGGCGAUGGUGGUAGUUAUCUCCCCACGCUCUUUGUCACGGAGUAAGUGAUUCAACACCAGAAUGGCACUACAACCUGCCGCCUUAGUUCAACUGGAACCAAGUUCAGCCUUUCCGUGAAAUGCACAGCGAAAGUUAAACUGGGGAGAGGGUUGAAGGAUUCAAAGAAAAACAUAGAAUGAUGGAAGCAAGAAGAAGAGACUUGUGUAAUACAAGAAAAAUGAUUUAAAGAGUAUCUAAAGUUCUCUCUCUAGAGUUGUCUCUGUUGUCUCUACAAUUGAAUAAAAUGAGUAUUUAUAGAGUCUGUACAAAAGAGUACUUAGGGCCACGCUAUUUGACAAGUUCUACA
rnacentral:lncRNA from 1 species